UACGUAGGGCGCAAGCGUUGUCCGGAUUUACUGGGCGUAAAGAGCGCGCAGGCGGUCGUUCAAGUCGCGUGUGAAAGCCCCCCGGCUCAACUGGGGAGGGUCACGCGAUACUGAUCGACUCGAAGGCAGGAGAGGGUAGUGGAAUUCCCGGUGUAGUGGUGAAAUGCGUAGAUAUCGGGAGGAACACCGGUGGCGAAGGCGCCUACCUGGAUGACUAUUGACGCUGAGGCGCGAAAGCGUGGGGGAGCAAACAGG
rnacentral:rRNA from 1 species